UGCCAGACUCCUACGGGAGGCAGCAGUGGGGAAUAUUGCACAAUGGGGGAAACCCUGAUGCAGCAACGCCGCGUGAGUGAAGAAGUAUUUCGGUAUGUAAAGCUCUAUCAGCAGGGAAGAAGAUGACGGUACCUGAGUAAGAAGCCCCGGCUAACUACGUGCCAGCAGCCGCGGUAAUACGUAGGGGGCAAGCGUUAUCCGGAUUUACUGGGUGUAAAGGGAGCGUAGACGGCUGCGCAAGUCUGAAGUGAAAGCCCGGGGCUCAACCCCGGGACUGCUUUGGAAACUGUGUAGCUAGAGUGCUGGAGAGGCAAGCGGAAUUCCUAGUGUAGCGGUGAAAUGCGUAGAUAUUAGGAAGAACACCAGUGGCGAAGGCGGCUUGCUGGACAGUAACUGACGUUGAGGCUCGAAAGCGUGGGGAGCAAACAGGAUUAGAUACCCGAGUAUA
rnacentral:rRNA from 1 species